rnacentral:misc_RNA from 1 species
UAUGACAGCUGUUCCCAUGCGGACGUGUAGACAUGUACAAGAUCGUUCAUCUGGAUGAAGAUGCCCUGAGUAUGCAUAUGCAGCGGCAGAUCCUGCUCCUGUUGCUGUUGAUACAAUCAGGUUGUGGUACGUCCGAUCUCACCUGCCCAGAUCAGAUUGAAGUAGGUUCUGAAGCAGCCAUCACUUGUGUUGCACCUGACACAACAGACAAGCAUGGCUACUCUACGCCAAACAGGGAAGUUGCUGCUAUCUGUGAGUUACAAGCCUCAGCAUGUCAGCCCCUCGCCCACUACACAGCAGCAGUUGUCAAUGACACCUGUAGCGUUCUGACCAUUCCUAGAGUGAAAAUAUCUGAUGCUGGAGACUGGCGAUGUACAGUUCCACCAUCGCCCAUGCUAACUUGUCACAUGGUUGUCUACAAACUCCCUUCAUGCGUUGUGAUCAGCAACGGAAUGGAUCAAACAACCCAAGUAAACCUUACUGGCUUCUACUGCUCGCAAGGUUUACACUUCCAGGUUGUGGGUUCUGUGUGUAAAGGUUUGACUUUACCUGUCACAAGUAUCACAGAUGGAAGCUUUAACUGCACUGCUACACAACUUGGGUCAACUGAUACAGUCAAUGUGACAUUUACAUGCGGCAAGGUUGGCAGGAGUCUGAAAUGCGAGGAAGUUAAUCACACUUUGACUGGUGUUCGUCAAGACACCACUACAGCCCUGCCUGGGGAAAGGGAACGGCCAGGUCAUACCUCAACUGGCAUUGCACUUCCUGUAAUUAUUUGUAUAAUAAUUUUAAUAAUCAUAAUAAUCACAAUGGUGGUGUUGUAUAGAAAUAGACACGGUUUCCAAUGCUUUGGGAAACAAUCAACACACAGUGCCGUUGACCCAGGGUAUAAGAGUGUAGAGAAGAGCAAGCCCGUUUCACUGUAGUGGAGAUACCUUUUGUGUUAAAUGUAAAAACAAUGAAACAAUGCAAAAGCGGACAGGAAAAUGAAGGCAGCUAUAUUCAAAGGUUAAUGUAAUGUCUUCGGUCUUCAACAAGUAUCAUGAAGGGAGCUAUAUUCAAAGGUUAAUGUAAUGUCUUCGGUCUUCAACAAGUAUCAUGAAGGGAGCUAUAUUCAAAGGUUAAUGUAAUGUCUUCGGUCUUCAACAAGUAUCAUGAAGGGAGCUAUAUUCAAAGGUUAAUGUAAUGUCUUCGGUCUUCAACAAUGUCUUGCGUAUCAGGUUUGUUUGUUAGUUUGUUGUUCAACGCCGGGACUUAGCAGUAUUGCAGCUAUAUGGCGGCGGUCUGUAAAUAAUCGAGUCUGGAUCAGAAAAUCCAGUGAUGAACAAUAUCAGCACCGACUGUCUAUCAGGACUGAAAUGAAUAAGGAUGAGUUCCAAGUCGUUUGAAUACAUCCUUCAGUAAUAACGUUGUUCCUGGUGCAUUUCACAGUUUCACAGUUUUUUAGAAUGGAUCAGUGGAGAACUUCGGAUGCUUUUUCGAACUAUGUGCAUGACGGAGGCAAAGUUGCGAUUCAUCAAACGAAGAGCAAGCUACAGUUUAAAAAUCACAUUUGGAAAGUGAGACGAUAAUUUACAAAGGUUGCACAAAUGACAUCAUUAUGUGAAUAUAUCAUUAAGUAAAGACUUAUUGGUGAAUCUCAAUCAUAAUCCAUACCAGCGUCAUGGGAAUGCUUGUAUACACAUGCAGACUGUGAGCAUAGGCAUAGUUUGGACUCAACAUUUAUUGUUGAAAACCACAAAAGUUAAAAAACACAGUUUAAUAUCAUUUUAACAGUUUUCUUGAUGGUCUAAAAAUAUGACGAGAGCGUACAACGUUUGGUUUGCUUCAGAAAUGAUAUGAUCGUGUGAAUA